rnacentral:rRNA from 1 species
AGAGUUUGAUCCUGGCUCAGGAUGAAUGCUGGCGGCAUGCCUAAUACAUGCAAGUCGAGCGGUAACAGGACUAGCUUGCUAGUUGCUGACGAGCGGCGGACGGCUGAGUAACGCGUGGGAACGGACCCCAAACUGAGGGAUAACCACUCGAAAGAGUGGCUAAUACCGCAUGUGAUCUUCGGAUUUAAAGCUUUCGAGCGGUUUGGGACUGGCCUGCGUACGAUUAGAUAGUUGGUGAGGUAACGGCUCACCAAGUCGACGAUCGUUAGAUGGUUUUGAGAGGAUGACCAUCCAGACUGGGACUGAGACACGGCCCAGACUCCUACGGGAGGCAGCAGUAGGGAAUCUUUCACAAUGGGCGAAAGCCUGAUGGAGCAAUGCCGCGUGCAGGAUGAAGGCCUUCGGGUUGUAAACUGCUUUUAUAAGUGAGGAAUAUGACGGUAACUUAUGAAUAAGGAUCGGCUAACUACGUGCC